rnacentral:rRNA from 1 species
GAUGAACGCUGGCGGCGUGCUUAACACAUGCAAGUCGAACGGAAAGGCUCCUGCUUGCAGGGGUACUCGAGUGGCGAACGGGUGAGUAACACGUGUGUGAUCUGCCCUUCACUUCGGGAUAAGCCUGGGAAACUGGGUCUCAUACCGGAUAGGACCACAUUAUGGGUGGUGUGGUAGAGAGUUUUUCGGUGUGGGUUGAGCUCGGGGCGGAUCAGCUUGUUGGUGGGGUAGUGGCUUACCAAGGCGUAGACGGGGAGCCGGCCCGCGAGGGGGUAGGGCCGCACUGGGACCGAGAGAGAGGCAAGAGUCGGACGGCUGGCAGAAGGGGCGAAUGUUGGACGAAGGGAGCAAGCGUGAGGCAGCGACGCCGCGGGGGCGUUGAAGGCUUUUGUGUGGUAAGCUCAAAUCUCUAGGGAACAAGCCUUUUUGUGACGGUACCUGGAGAAGAAGCACCGGCUAACUACGUG